AGAACGAACGCUGGCGGCAGGCUUAACACAUGCAAGUCGAACGCUUCCUUCGGGGAGAGUGGCAGACGGGUGAGUAACACGUGGGAACGUACCCCUUUGUUCGGAAUAACCCUGGGAAACUAGGGCUAAUACCGGAUACGGCCGAGAGGCGAAAGGUUUACCGCAGAGGGAUCGGCCCGCGUCCGAUUAGCUUGUUGGUGAGGUAAUGGCUCACCAAGGCAUCGAUCGGUAGCUGGUCUGAGAGGAUGACCAGCCACAUUGGGACUGAGACACGGCCCAAACUCCUACGGGAGGCAGCAGUGGGGAAUAUUGGACAAUGGGCGCAAGCCUGAUCCAGCCAUGCCGCGUGAGUGAUGACGGCCUUAGGGUUGUAAAGCUCUUUUACCUGGGAAGAUCAUGACGGUACCAGGAGAAUAAGCCCGGCUAACUUCGCGCCAGCAGCCGC
rnacentral:rRNA from 1 species